rnacentral:rRNA from 1 species
CGCAGCUAACUGUGUGAAAUCGUGUGAACUGCAGGACACAUGAACAUCGACAUUUUGAACGCACAUUGCGGUCCAUGCGAAUGUUUUUUAAUCUAUAUUAAACUGCAUGGACCACGUAUGGUUGAGUGUCGUAAAUGAUAAGCAGAACAUAUUGUUUCUUUUCUUUUCUUCUUCUGAAGAGAAAAAAGAACAUGGGGGCUAUGAAUGACUUGUUCUCAUUCAUGCUCUAAACAUUGUAGUAUGAGGCACGUUUUGAAUAUGUAACCCAAGACAAAUGUAAUAUUACAUGGUAGAGAGGUAUAUAUAUAUCAUAGUCAUUGAAUUAAUUUACAUACGACCAUUGUUUAUAUACUCUCGCUGUAUUUUAUUACAAGGGGAUUUAUUCAUUAAAAAAUGUGCGCAUAUGAAUGAAAAUAUAUAAAACGCGACCUCAACUCAUGCGUGACUACCCCCUGAAUUUAAGCAUAUUAAUAAGCGGAGGAAAAGAAACUAACCAGG